rnacentral:lncRNA from 1 species
GGGGUUCUGGUAUUUCCUUUUUCUUGGAUAAGUAAAGAUAUAAAAAAAUAAAGUCAAGUUAUUGCGAGUACACGUCAAUUAGAUUAUGGUAUUUUACAUUUGAAAAAUAAGUUUAAAUGCAUUUUUGGAGAUUAUAUAGCAAUAUCAGCUUAUUUCUAAGGUAACUACCAAGUGAUUUUCUUUUUCUUUGGUAUGUAGUAAAUAAAAUUAGGGGUUCUGAUAUUUUUCUUUUUU